rnacentral:rRNA from 1 species
UAUGUAGGGGGCAAGCGUUGUCCGGAUUUAUUGGGCGUAAAGAGCGUGUAGGCGGCCGCACAGGUCCGUUGUGAAAACUGGAGGCUUAACCUUCAGACGUCGAUGGAAACCGUGCGGCUAGAGUCCGGAAGAGGAGAGUGGAAUUCCUGGUGUAGCGGUGAAAUGCGCAGAUAUCUGGAGGAACACCGGUGGCGAAGGCGGCAUCCUGGACCGGUAUUGACGCUGAGGCGCGAAAGCCAGGGGAGCAAACGGG